GGUGAAAAGCACCCCGGAAGGGGAGUGAAAUAGAACCUGAAACCGUGUGCUUACAAGUAGUCAGAGCCCGUUAAUGGGUGAUGGCGUGCCUUUUGUAGAAUGAACCGGCGAGUUACGAUUUGAUGCAAGGUUAAGCAGUAAAUGUGGAGCCGUAGCGAAAGCGAGUCUGAAUAGGGCGUUUAGUAUUUGGUCGUAGACCCGAAACCAGGUGAUCUACCCUUGGUCAGGUUGAAGUUCAGGUAACACUGAAUGGAGGACCGAACCGACUUACGUUGAAAAGUGAGCGGAUGAACUGAGGGUAGCGGAGAAAUUCCAAUCGAACCUGGAGAUAGCUGGUUCUCUCCGAAAUAGCUUUAGGGCUAGCCUCAAGUGAUGAUUAUUGGAGGUAGAGCACUGUUUGGACGAGGGGCCCCUCUCGGGUUACCGAAUUCAGACAAACUCCGAAUGCCAAUUAAUUUAACUUGGGAGUCAGAACAUGGGUGAUAAGGUCCGUGUUCGAAAGGGAAACAGCCCAGACCACCAGCUAAGGUCCCAAAAUAUAUGUUAAGUGGAAAAGGAUGUGGCGUUGCCCAGACAACUAGGAUGUUGGCUUAGAAGCAGCCAUCAUUUAAAGAGUGCGUAAUAGCUCACUAGUCGAGUGACACUGCGCCGAAAAUGUACCGGGGCUAAACAUAUUACCGAAGCUGUGGAUUGUCCUUUGGACAAUGGUAGGAGAGCGUUCUAAGGGCGUUGAAGCAUGAUCGUAAGGACAUGUGGAGCGCUUAGAAGUGAGAAUGCCGGUGUGAGUAGCGAAAGACGGGUGAGAAUCCCGUCCACCGAUUGACUAAGGUUUCCAGAGGAAGGCUCGUCCGCUCUGGGUUAGUCGGGUCCUAAGCUGAGGCCGACAGGCGUAGGCGAUGGAUAACAGGUUGAUAUUCCUGUACCACCUAUAAUCGUUUUAAUCGAUGGGGGGACGCAGUAGGAUAGGCGAAGCGUGCGAUUGGAUUGCACGUCUAAGCAGUAAGGCUGAGUAUUAGGCAAAUCCGGUACUCAUUAAG
rnacentral:rRNA from 1 species